AGUGAACGCUGGCGGUAGGCCUAACACAUGCAAGUCGAACGGCAGCACAGUAAGAGCUUGCUCUUACGGGUGGCGAGUGGCGGACGGGUGAGGAAUACAUCGGAAUCUACUUUUUCGUGGGGGAUAAUGUAGGGAAACUUACGCUAAUACCGCAUACGACCUACGGGUGAAAGCAGGGGAUCUUCGGACCUUGCGCGAUUGAAUGAGCCGAUGUCGGAUUAGCUAGUUGGCGGGGUAAAGGCCCACCAAGGCGACGAUCUGUAGCUGGUCUGAGAGGAUGAUCAGCCACACUGGAACUGAGACACGGUCCAGACUCCUACGGGAGGCGGCAGUGGGGAAUAUUGGACAAUGGGCGCAAGCCUGAUCCAGCCAUACCGCGUGGGUGAAGAAGGCCUUCGGGUUGUAAAGCCCUUUUGUUGGGAAAGAAAAGCAGCAGGUUAAUACCCCGCUGUUCUGACGGUACCCAAAGAAUAAGCACCGGCUAACUUCGUG
rnacentral:rRNA from 1 species